GUGAAGUAAAAGUUCUUCUGAUUUCUGAUGCUUGUCUAGAGAGCUGGCUGAGGAGAGGGAGGGUAGGAGGAGGCUCAGGGUUAAGUGGCAGGAGCCAGUGUGGGAUUUCAAGCCAUAGUCUGCUGUCCAAAUAGGAGGGCUGGUAACUUGACAAGUGUGAGUUUUAUUGCUGCUGUUAUUAGCUCUAUGAAGAUGGAGGAAUUUUUAAAGAAACUGAGCGGGGAUGAUCCUCAGGCGUGCAACUCCACCCUAUAAAGAAGGCUCAUGAAAUGUGUGCUUGACAAUAUGCACAAAGUUCCAAGAGCUUAGAAAAGACAAACAAAAGUUCAUGUGUGAGAGAUGCAUAAGGUUGUAGGUUGAAACACUAACAAUUGCCAGCCUGUGGACAUUUUAAUCUACAACGAUAGCAAACUGCUUCUGCCUUUAUAAGCAAUGUGUGCCAAGCCUUCUCUACGUAAAUGGCAGUAUAUCAAUGUAUGAUCAUGGAUCAUGCACCCGGUGUUCAUCUAUCAGUCAGCCUUAUUUGCUUAUUAUUUUUGGAGGAGAACUAAAGAUUAAAAAUACAAUUUGUCUUUCAGGAAUGACACAGAAAUUAAAAUAUAACUUGGCCUUUAAUAGAGCUGCUACUCACAGAGGCCUCACAAACCCCAGGACUUUGUUUCUUGGGCAGUGGGGAUAAUUAUAACCCAGGCAAAGGAAACUGAAAAGCUGUCACAUUUUUUCUUUCAUGUUUUCUAAAAUAUUUUUAAGCACACUGAGAUAGAACUCAUUGUCCUUACUUAUUGGCAUGACAAAACAACAACAACAACAAAAACAAAAAAGCAAAAAACCAAAACCAAAACUAAAAACUAAAAUCUCUACAGAGAACCAUUUAUCCACCCCCAGCCAACCCCAGAAUACUGGUCUGUUCCACAAAGCUGAUAAGUAUGAAAUCCUUCCACUAUCUCCAUUACUUUCUAUCCCCAGUAAGGCUGUCUAGAACUCUACACACCAGUCUCACUUUGUGCCAAUGCUUAGCUUCUCCUGCCUGACUCUUGACUGUGGCAGAGUUUGCUCUUCUGAAUAUUACUUCCUUGUAGAGAGGAAAUGGCCUAGGCUGUGCUUCCUGUUUUAUUUCCUCAGCCACCUAGAGACAUGGCCACAGGCAAUUAAGUUUUCCACAAUGCUCGAAUUGAAAAUACACUCAAGAAAAAGAAAAAAGCCAAGAAAAGCUCCAAACAUUGGCAUUUAUUUUAUGCUUUGCUUAUAGAUCUAAAGAGGGGUGGGGACAGCCCAGAAAGUUUAGUAGGUCACUUCAGUGAUCCACACUGUGCAUGCGUUUACAUGAGAGCAGAGGGUUCUUAAUGUCUGUUUGCCAUGUUCUGCAGGCAACUGUAGAGGCAUGGGCCAUAACUAGAUGUCUGAGUUGACACAAGAGACAUACUACAAAAACAAAGUGUUCUUUUUUCAGCCAGCAUCAAACCAUAGGUGUGUUCUCUGCCAACUCCUAGUGGACAUUUUCUCCUUGAGCUGUUCAAAGGACUGUGGUCACAUUGUUGAUUCACUUCAGUUUCUGCUCCCAAAGACAUGAACCACAACCGAGUGACUAAAAUAUCAUAACUAAUUGCUUAAGGGAAGCAACUUCUUUUGACAAACAAAGCCUGGUUUCUCUAGCAAUCGGUCAUAAAUAGGCAUUAUAAACAACUGCACCUAGUGGGACCAUACCACAGUUGCUAAUCUUGUAGCCCUGCAACCUGUUACGCCAAGAUCCUAAAUCUGUUGUCUAGUCCAGAGGCUGAGAUUUUUCUAUGCUUUGCCAGCCAUGACUCUAAAAUUAUUUUUGAGUUUUUUCCUGACAAGCCUUAGUCUAUCAGAAGUGUCAUGGGACACCUAGUGACCCCAGAUGUCUUUUUCCCAUACCUGGUGAUGUCCGUAUUGACAAGGAGCCUUUCAAACACUUCAGCUUUAGAGAGGGCUUGGCUCUCUCAGGUGACAAUCUGAGAGCCUUACCCUAUAGAGCCAUUGUCUCAUGACCACAUUCCUUCCCCAGUAGGUCAGAAGUGUGUGUGUGUGUGUGUGUGUGUGUGUGUGUGUGUGUGUGUGUGUGUGUGUGUGUGUGUGUAUGUGAAUAUGAACCAAGUACAUGCUAUGCAGGUAUGAGGAGAUCAAGACACAGAGCAGGAAGUCUUUUCCAUAAUGACUUCUGCCUCUUUCAGUUAUUCACAGAAGACAGGUGGCUGCCCAAUCCUCUCUCAGUGUGCAGUGCACAGCUGAGCUAUGCUUGAUUGUAAAGCACCUGAGUCACAGAAUAUACAGGUUAUUCUCAAUGUUCUUAAGCACAUUUCCAACAACAGGAAGCCUGUGUUCUUGCACAUUGACAUUGAGAGUGCAAAUGAGCUCAGUGCUGAGAGUACACACUCAACACCUUCCAUUCCAAUGUAAAGCCCACAUAACGACAGAUCAGAAGCUUUUCUGAGUGUGACAAGAGACUCAAGGAGAAAACUCCUUUCUUAAUUUCAAGUGAUUAUUCAGGCAAAACAGGUCCAUAAAAAAAUCAUAAAAUUGCCCAGGCUGUGCUUAUAAAGUGCAUCUGAAACACAUGGAUUUUUUGUGCAAAGCAUUUUUGUUUUUAAGAAUUUUGAGGUUUUAAGAGAUACCCUCUGUGCCAGAAUUAAAAAUGUCUGUACCUUUUGAGUCCAGGAUUUUACCUGUUGAGAUUACACACACACACACACACACACACACACACACACACACACACACACACACUUACUGCAUCCACAGAAUUUCUUGCAAGCUGUAUUAAAACAUGGAGAAACAUUGCUAGUAGUUUCCUAAGGAAGGCAGGCUGGGAGACAUGGAAAGAUGGGGAUCUGAUGAGCUGUUCAGCAACACCAUCAUUCCUGGGAACAUGUACUGCUUUUAUUAAAAUACUCUUUUAAGAGCCCCCUGGUUUGGUAGCUACAAAAAGAUGCUUUCAGCAGGUAGUGAAGUUCAGAACUAAUCUAAUACUCACACUUGGCUUGUGAAUGGUAACGAGGCUCUAAACUGAAAUCACCACAGUGUUUCCUCUCUGCUCCCUGGCCUGACACAGAGCACAUGGCCUUGGUUUGGACCCUUCUUCCUAUCUCAAUCACAGGCUCUGUCUUGUGUUUAGGAACAAUUCUUAUCUCAUGAACAGAUCUCAGGUUCUCAGUUUUGUGUCUCGAAAAGUAGUAGGUUUGGGAUAAAAACUUCAAUGGCUUCAUCUCAGUUACAGUUCCCACAGGGACAUUAAAACUUAAGGAUAGUAAAUCAUUAAGGGAGGGGUGAUUUUACUUGGAGACUCUCAGUAAAAUUAGUCAUAAACAUCAACUUCAGAUUACAAAGUGCAAGUUCCAAACAGCUGGAGCUGCUUGGUCAUGCCUUUUGGAAGAUGGUGGUCCCUGCCUUCCAUGUGUGUGUCUCAGUUGUAAGAGCUCCUCCCUCACUUUUGCUAUGAAGGUUGCACCAUAACAUAUGCUCCAGUGGGAUUUAAAACU
rnacentral:lncRNA from 1 species